GACGAACGCUGGCGGCGUGCUUAACACAUGCAAGUCGAACGGUGAAGCGCCUUCUUUUUUGGUUGCUGUGGAGGAGUGGCGAACAGGUGAGUAACACGUGCGUAACCUUCCCCCUUCUUCUGCAUCACCGCAUGAAAGCGAGGCCAAUACGGGAUAUUCUGGUUCUUUGGCUGGAUGGGUCUGGGACAGAUAUUGUUUCUGUGGGGGAUGGUCUCGCGGAUUUUCAGCUUGUGGGUGGGGUGAUGGCCUACCACGGCUGUGAGGGGUGGCCGGCCUGGCGGGGUGGACGGCCUCAGUGGGUCUGAGACACGGCUCAGACUGAGACGGGGGGCAGCAGUGUGGAGUAUUGCACAAUGGGCGAUAGCGUGAUGCAGCGACACCGCGGGAGCGAUAAAGCCGUUUGGGUGGUGAACCUCUUUCGCCAGUGAAGCGGGCCUGCCUCGUUUGUAGGUGGGUUGACGGUAGCUGGAUAAGAAGCGCCGGCUAACUACGUG
rnacentral:rRNA from 1 species